GCCAUUUUGGGACUUAGUUUUAUAAGUAGUUUUAUCUUGUAAAUUGUUAUUUUUGUCUUAAGGGCGUAAUCAAUGUUUUUUGCUUGCCUGGUGCCUUUUCUUUUAGUUGGAGAAUAUGUGCGAACAAGUUCUUUUUGAGAGUUCCGCAUGUGAGUAGGGAGUGAAAUUUGUGACAGGAGGCUUCAUUUCUUUAGAUUUUGGAAGCUAUUGAAGUCUUGACUGCUCGAAAGCGUUUUUGUCAUUCAGUUUACUUUUGGAUAUGCUUCAGAUAAUUAUGAGUGCAUUUAUAAACAUUAUUGGGGUUUGGGAAGCAUCCAGAGGACUUCCAGAGAGUAGAUAUAUCAUGUAGGUGUUCAAGUCAGUUAUUGAAUUAUAGGGAUGGAGAUUCAAGCUGCAGACUUGAAAUCGAUUUAUUAUAUUGUAGAAUGUAAAGACAAAUCAGUAUGAAUUCUUCGAAUUCUGAUUGUUUUUUAGACAUAUCAUUGGCAUGAGGUGGUUUCACCAGCUUAUUUGUUCCUAUACAUAUUUUAGCUUGUUUAUUAAGUCUCCACCCACGCUGAAAGAGAAUCUGUUGGCUAUGUUUCUUGGUUAUGUAAAUAGUAAGUUAUUGACUAUUUAUGUGUUAGAAAUUGCAUCUUGAACAUAAACAAAUGUCUGCUGUGA
rnacentral:misc_RNA from 1 species